CGCCUAAAUAUAAAAAUAAGAACCUGAAGAAAUGGCUUCUCUGUUUACAACAUACCCAACAGAAAUCUGAGUUCACUGUGACAACGGGCAAAACUUGUGGCCUUCCUAUGAAGAAAUAGAAAACACAG
ensembl:snoRNA